CCUACGGGUGGCAGCAGUGGGGAAUAUUGGGCAAUGGGCGCAAGCCUGACCCAGCAACGCCGCGUGAAGGAAGAAGGCUUUCGGGUUGUAAACUUCUUUUCUCAGGGACGAAGCAAGUGACGGUACCUGAGUAAUAAGCGACCGCUAACUACGUGACAGAAGUCGCGGUAAUACGUAGGUGGCAAUCGUUAUCCGGAUUUACUGGGUGUAAAGGGCGUGUAGGCGGGGACGCAAGUCAGAUGUGAAAGCCACGGGCUCAACCUGAGACCUGCAUUUGAAACUGUGUUUAUGGAGUACUGGGGAGGCAGACGGAAUUCCUGGUGUAGCGGUGAAAUGCGUAGAUAUUAGGAGGAACACCGAUGGCGAAGGCGGUCUGCUGGACAGCAACUGACGCUGAGGCGCGAAAGCGUGGGGAGCAAACAGGAUUAGAUACCCUUGUAGUC
rnacentral:rRNA from 1 species